rnacentral:rRNA from 1 species
AGAGUGAACGCUGGCGGUAGGCCUAACACAUGCAAGUCGAACGGCAGCACGGUAAGAGCUUGCUCUUAUGGGUGGCGAGUGGCGGACGGGUGAGGAAUACAUCGGAAUCUACCUUUUGGUGGGGGAUAACGUAGGGAAACUUACGCUAAUACCGCAUACGCCCUUCGGGGGAAAGCCGGGGACCAGCAAUGGCCUGGCGCUGAUAGAUGAGCCGAUGUCGGAUUAGCUAGUUGGUGAGGUAAUGGCUCACCGAAGGCGACGAUCCGUAGCUGGUCUGAGAGGAUGAUCAGCCACACUGGAACUGAGACACGGUCCAGACUCGACGGGAGCAGCAGUGGGAAUAUGGACAAGUGGCGCGAAGCCUGACUCCAGCCCGACGUACCGGCGGU